UUGGAUAUGGCUGACCCUAUUCCUAAUCCUUUUCGGAGUAAAUUUUAGAAAAAACGAGAAAGUGUAUAAAAUUAUGCACUUCUUAUGUUGAACAUUGCGGACUUCCAUAGUACCAUUUAUCAUUAAUUAACCCCGGAGGAGAAGCUAAAUUUCAAAAAAUCUUCUUAUUGGAAUACUUACAAGAUAAAAAGCACCAUCUGCAAAAUUUCGAGUUGGUAUCCCCAGCGGCUUAGGCUCUGCGUGGAUGAAUCAAUGAGUCGCUCAAUCACUCAGGACAAGUUUCGGAUGCCCUUAUUAUUGAUAUGCGUGUUUUCCAAAAUAUGGAGCCUUAUUUUGGUGGGCCCCGAUAUGUACUUGUUACAGUAUUCACAGAAGAAUCCGUUUUUGACCUGUGGUAAUAAACCGAAAAAAAUAAUUUAUUUCAAUUAACAGUAGAGUAAUAAACCGAUUUUUUAUAAUA